rnacentral:rRNA from 1 species
GUUGUCCGGAUUCAUUGGGCGUAAAGAGCUCGUAGGCGGUUCGAUAAGUCGGGUGUGAAACCUCCAGGCUCAACCUGGAGACGCCACCCGAUACUGUUGUGACUAGAGUCCAGUAGAGGAGCGUGGAAUUCCUGGUGUAGCGGUGAAAUGCGCAGAUAUCAGGAGGAACACCAGCAGCGAAGGCGGCGCUCUGGGCUGGCACUGACGCUGAGGAGCGAAAGCGUGGGGAGCGAACAGGAUUAGAUACCCUGGUAGUCCACGCCGYAAACGUUGGGCACUAGGUGUGGGGUCUUAUCAACGGAUUCCGUGCCGAAGCUAACGCAUUAAGCACCCCGCCUGGGGAGUACGGCCGCAAGGCUAAAACUCAAAGGAAUUGACGGGGGCCCGCACAAGCAGCGGAGCAUGUUGCUU